AUGACCUCCCCGAGCUCUACCGACAUAAGACACAGAAGCUAGCACGUGGCUAUCAGCGUCGCCGACAUCUCGCUGGAGCUUGGAGAGAUACGGGUGCUCAUCCCCGUCAGUUACAUCUGCUUUACAUCAAGUGUCGAAUCGGCAACCACCACUGUGCUGUUCAGCCUGCGCGACACGCCAUUCCUCCCAUCCCCAGGGCGCAACCGCUUCACGGUCAUUGGCUGCGACACCCUUGGGCUCGUUGGCGGUGUCCAUGGGGACAUGAUCCAGUAUCUCGCCGGUUGCUACUCCUACUACGAAGGCAUCAGUAGUGCAUCAGACGACGGAUCACCGUGCACCGGGACAGGCUGUUGCGAGGCAUCCAUCCCAACCAACCUCACCGCCUUGAAUGUGACGUUCCCAAUUAACAGUAGCAGCGUAUGGGGAUUCAACCCAUGCUUCUAUGCCAUGGUUGCUGAGGUUGGGUGGUACAGCUUCCGGCGCCGUGACCUCAUUGGCCAGCUUGGGUUCGCCACCGAGAGGGCAAAGAACGGUGCACCUUUCAUCGCGAACUGGGCAGUCAGGAACGGAUCGUGCCUGGAGCCAAGAAACUAUGCAUGUGUCAGUACGAAUAGCUACUGCGACAAUACAAGCAAUGGGCAUGGGUACUUGUGCAAGUGCUCCCUGGGUUAUGAGGGCAACGCCUACAUCAACAAUGGCUGUCAAGAUAUAGAUGAAUGCAUGCUGCGUGAGCAGAACCCCAAGUACAAAGAGUUGUAUCCUUGCAGGAAUGGCCUAAGUGUUUCCGCCGCUGUGAUGAUAUCGUUGGCAUGCUUUUUGGCUAUGCAAUUACAAAGGAAAAGGCACAAGAAGGAGAAAGAUGAGUAUUUCAAACAAAAUGGAGGGCUCAAGUUGUAUGAUGAGAUGAGAUCAAGGCAGGUCGAUACUGUUUGCAUACUCACUGAAAAAGAGAUCAAGACAGCCACCGACAACUACAAUGAAGAUCGGGUUCUUGGAUGUGGCGGACAUGGGAUGGUCUACAGGGGUACUUUGGAUGGCCAUAGAGAGGUUGCCAUAAAAAAGUCCAAAGUGAUCAACGAUAAUUGCAGGGAUGAGUUUAUAAAUGAGAUCAUAAUCUUGUCACAGAUUAACCACCGGAACAUUGUGAGAUUACUAGGCUGUUGCUUGGACAUAGAAGUUCCAAUGUUGGUCUACGAGUUUGUCUCCAAUGGGACACUAUAUGAGUUUCUUCAUGGCACUGUUGAUCACAACCUGCCUCCAAUUUCCCUGGACCUUCGCCUGAAGAUUUCCACACAAUCAGCAGAAGCUCUUGCUUACUUGCACUCAUCGACAUCUUGCACAAUCCUGCACGGGGAUGUCAAAUCUGCCAACAUUCUUCUGGACAAUCAGUGCAAUGCCAAGGUUGCAGAUUUUGGAGCGUCAGCACUCAAGUCCAUGGACGAAAACUCGUUCAUCAUGCUCGUCCAGGGAACCCUCGGGUAUCUUGACCCCGAAAGCUUCAUCAGCCACCUUCUCACCGACAAGAGUGACGUCUACAGCUUUGGGGUCGUUCUCCUGGAACUGCUGACAAGAAAGAGGGCUCUGUAUGCCGAUAACUCUUCCAAUGAAAAGAAAUCCUUGACCCAUAAUUUUCUCCUUAUGUUUCACCAGCGCAAGCACCGGAGAAUGCUGGACUCUGAGAUUGCAGACGAUGCUGUGGCCAUGGUGGUUGUUGAGAAGCUUGCCGUCCUCGCCGUGCACUGCCUGAGCACGAAAGGAGACGACAGGCCGACGAUGAAGGAAGUAGCAGAGCGCCUGCAGGUGCUUUGGAGACACCAAAUACAUGCAGCCAGUAAUGGCGAAAAUGGUUGUGGCUUUGAUAGCAACUUUGGAGUAUCACCGUCGUCAGUCGUUCUCCCUUUGGAUGAGAUGACAGACGGUAGUUUGGAGAUGCGCAAACUGGUGCUGGCCGUGUAA
rnacentral:rRNA from 1 species